CGGCUCCAGGUGUCUCCGGGUGUCUCUGUGCGUCUCCAGGUGUCUCCGUGCGCAGCUCCAGGUGUCUCCGUGCGGCUCCGCGCACGUCUCCGGGCGUCUCCGGGUGUCUCCGUGCGGCUCCGCGCGCGGCUCCGGGCGUCUCCGGGUGUCUCCGGGCGCCCGGGAAGGGCUUUAUGGGGCCGCAGCCGGCGGGACCGGUCGGGCCGGGCGGGAGCCGGAGCCGCGUGGAGCCGGUCGGGCCGGCGCCGCGUUGGGAAAUAACGGGGCCGGCGGGAGCCCGCGGCGCCCCAACGCCCCUGACGCCGCCACCGCUGCCACCGGCUCCGGCUCCGCGCGGGGACACCGGGACACCGGGACGUGGGGACACGGGGGGACGCGGGGACACGGGGACAGACGUGUGUCCCUGUCCCAGCCCCACACGUGUCCCCGUGUUGGACCCACGCGCGUCCCCAUCCCAGUUCCCAUCCUGGCCCCACACGUGUCCCCAUCCGGGCAACAUGCGCGUCCCCAUCCCGGCCCCACACUUGUCCCCAUCUUCACCCCACAAGUGUCCCCAUGUUGGACCCACACGUGUUCCCAAACUGGCCCCAUGUGUGUCCCCAUCCCAGUCCCCCUCCCAGCCCCACACGUGUCCCCAUGUUGGACCCACACAUGUCCCUAUGCUGCCCCCAUACGUGUCCCCAUCCUGGCCCCACAUGUGCCCCAUGUUGGACCCACACAUGUUCCCAUGUUGGACCCACACGUGUCCCCAUCCCAGUCCCCAUCCCAGCCCCACACAUGUCCCCAUCUGGGCAACGUGCGUGUCCCCAUCCCAGCCCCACAUGUGUCUCCAUCCCAGCCCCACAUGUGUCCCCAUCCAGACCCCACGCAUGUCCCCAUGUUGGACCCAUGCAUGUCCCCAUCCCGGCCCCACAUGUGCCCCAUCUUGGCCCUAUGCAUGUCCCCAUCCUGGCCCCACACGUGUCCCCAUCUUGGCCCCACAAGUGCCCCCAUGUUGGACCCACACGUGUCCCUAUGCUGCCCCCAUACGUGUCCCCAUCCUGGCCCCACAUGUGUCCCAUCUUGACCCUAUGCAUGUCCCCAUGUUGGACCCACACGUGUCCCCAUCCCAGUCUCCAUCCCGGCCCCACACGUGUCCCCAUCUGGGCAACAUCUGUGUCCCCAUCUUGGCCCCACAUGUGCCCCAUCUUCAUCGCACACACGUGCUCCAUCCUUGCCCCACACAUGCCCCAUCUUGGCCCUAUGCAUGUCCCCAUGUUGGACCCACACAUGUUCCUAAGCGGGCCCCACAUGUGUCCCCAUGCCAGCCCCACACAUG
rnacentral:lncRNA from 1 species